GGUCUAUUAGCUCAUUCGGUUAGAGCGCUUCGCUGAUAACGAAGAGGUGCGGGGUUCAAAACCCUGAUAGACCACCA
rnacentral:tRNA from 1 species